GGUUCUACCCCUGGUCUUUUAUCCGUAGUCCAGGAUGGGUGCAGAUAAAAUGCGAACUGAGGUGUGUACAUUACAAUUUUGUUGAAUAUAUUUAGUCAGAUGCAUCAUGGAGGAAAGCUUAAUAAAAAAGUUGAUUUUAAAUUUACCAGGUUUUUAUAUCGCCAGACGUACACAGAACAACUAAAAUAGGUUAUUGUAUUAAAAAAACAUUUUACGGUAAUAACAAUUUUGUGAAUUAUAUAUUUUCCAGGGUACUGGCGUCAUUUGCAUUCAGUUUAAAUAUUGACUGGGAAAUUGUGGACAAAAAGGGCGUAAGUAUAUAUACUGGUUAUUUUGCUUGGAAAACGAUACUGUAUGAUAUGAUGAUGAUAUUAUAAGACGUUAUUAUAAGAGUUAAACAGUUAAAAACUGACAAACCCGUAUAGCCCUCGUAUGCGAGAGUUUAAGAUCUUUACCUAGGUUCUUCACUAAAAAAUUCAGGAGUCAGUUGUUCAUACCACGAUUACCGUUAACCUUGUGAUAAAAUGUAAUCUUUUGUUUUGACUAGAAACCACUGUUAGCAUGUCUGGGUUUCUUUUCAAAACUUCCAAAAAUAAGACUUCCAUUGAUCCAGACAAUAUUUCUGUAAAAAUAUUUCCAUGUUUAUACACAAGCUACUGAUCAUGCAUGGGAAGUUUGCUCUGACGUUUUUCAUUAACCCAGGAUAAGCAGAUUUCGAACAACCUACCUGUUCCAGAACUAAUAUAUACUUUUUCUUUUUUUAUAUGUCUUCUUGAAUGUUUUUUGCAACAGGACGCAAGUGUAUGUGCUUUUAUUAUUGUUUUGUUAAAAAAUUGCGAGAGAUUAACUUGGCGUGAGGCGUAAUCUUAUGAUAAAUAUCAAUGCUAUCUGUUACUUUCAAGCAGUGUAGUUCAGUGUUGUAAUGAGUCGAGUCAUUGACUCGAACUCCAACUUUAGACCUAGCAAAGACCCUACUCAAGUUUGGGCUAUCUUUGGCCUCUUUUAAUUUGCCAACUCGUUUGUUUUGAAAAUUCCACUGUUCUCCAUGCCAUCCAGAUUGGGGAUUGGUGUACAUGUUGUCAAAGCGUUGCUUGCUUUCUGUAAGCUCGCUCUAUUAGCCAUUCCAAAGUUGAUGAGUGGACUAUGGACGAGUGUUAAAAAGUGCCCAAAUUAAGAAAUGAACUAAAUCACUAAAAAGACCACCUAAAAAUUAGUAAGUAUACAAAGUUUGAAGAGCUCUACUUGAAUACCCUUCGAAUAAUAAGCUUUCGAAAAUCAUGAAAUUACUGAUUAAAAGAUUGUUUUUGGGACGCGCGUCCCAAAAACAAAAAUUGCAAUACAUUUCAUAGUAAAUAUCGGAUUUUCGAAAGCUUAUUAUUCGAAGGGUAUUCAUGUACACGUCUUCAAACUUUGUAUACUUACUAAUUUUGAGGUGGUCUUUUUAGUGAUUUGGUUCAUUUCUUAAUUGGGCACUUUUUAACACUCGUCCCCAGUUCACUCAUCAACUUCGGAAUGGCUAAUUGACCGCCCCAAUUAAGUUUUUUUUCUUCAUAUUUUUCCAGGUGAGCAAACCAUUGAAAGACAGUGUUCAGGAUAUGUUGGUGAAACAUCAUCUAUUCAGCUGGGAUUUAUAGUCCAUGCAGUAUCCUUCAUAAAUCAUGCAUUCACUACAUAACAACAUUCACUAUAUAUGUAUAUUCAGUCUAUUUGAUGCUGUCCUAGAUAGCACGAAUAAUUCAGCGAAUAGACUGAACUACUUUGUUUGCACUCUUAACUCAAAUGGUCUCGUCUUCAUGUGGCUAUUUGCCCAUGUUUCGUGAUGAAUAGAGCGUUUGCACAUGACGUCACAGCCGCCAUGUUGGUCACAGAAUAAAGGGUGUCUGUAAAAGCCGGAACCCCACC